CAGGCCUAACACACAUGCAAGUCGAGCGGCAGCAGGUCCUUCGGGAUGCUGGCGAGCGGCGGACGGGUGAGUAACACGUGGGAAUCUGCCCAUCGGUGGGGGAUAGCCCGAGGAAACUCGGAUUGAUACCGCAUACGCCCUACGGGGCAAAGUAGACCUCUGAUUUAAGUUUACGCCGAUGGAUGAGCCCGCGGCCGAUUAGCUAGUUGGUGGGGUAAAGGCCUACCAAGGCGACGAUCGGUAGCUGGUCUGAGAGGACGAUCAGUCACACCGGAACUGAGACACGGUCCGGACUCCUACGGGAGGCAGCAGUGGGGAAUAUUGGACAAUGGGCGAAAGCCUGAUCCAGCAAUGCCGCGUGGGUGAAGAAGGCUUGAGGGUUGUAAAGCCCUUUCAGCAGGGAGGAAAAGCGUACGGUUAAUACCCGGGCGUCUUGACGUUACCUGCAGAAGAAGCACCGGCUAACUCCGUGCCAGCAGCCGCGGUAAUACGGAGGGAGCAAGCGUUAAUCGGAAUUACUGGGCGUAAAGCGCGCGUAGGCGGUCGGAUAAGUCGGAUGUGAAAGCCCCGGGCUCAACCUGGGAAUUGCAUUCGAUACUGUCUGGCUAGAGUUUGGUAGAGGGUGGUGGAAUUCCAGGUGUAGCGGUGAAAUGCGUAGAUAUCUGGAGGGACAUCAGUGGCGAAGGCGACCACCUGGACCAAAACUGACGCUGAGGUGCGAAAGCGUGGGGAGCAAACAGGAUUAGAUACCCUGGUAAUCCACGCCGUAAACGAUGAGAACUAGCCGUCGGGCUCUUUAUGAGCUUGGUGGCGCAGCUAACGCGUUAAGUUCUCCGCCUGGGGAGUCGGCCGCAAGGUUAAAAC
rnacentral:rRNA from 1 species